AUUGUCUAUUGUGCCCCUUUUAACUGUUAACGUGUUCUGAUCUGAAGUGAAGUCCAAAGCUACUUCGCUACUGUGUCACGAUGUCAGUCACCACUGCGCUCUCUUGGUUAAUCUGUUUUCUCUUUCCUCACGUCAACGCUCAAGUUUUGUUAUUCCAAGGAACAAACAUGUACAGAAGAUACAAAAGAGGAAUCCUUAGUGGAAAAGCUGAUUGCAGAAGCAUCUGUAGGAGAAGAUUGUUGUGUUAUUAUAUUCACUGACGCCUUAGUGGAAUUGCAUAUUUAAACAACGAACAAAACCUUGCUGUUAUUUUUAUCUGUCGAAAAAAUUAUUGCUGUUAGACUGUGGGUAGUUUUGAUAUUUUCAGAAUCAUCUUUGAAUUAACCCUCAGUAAUUCACAGCAAUGCCGUAAUGAUUACACUUACUGGGUAGUCUGCUGAUGCAUUUACGACCAUAAUAGCUAGUGAACUGGUAUAUUCCAUUUCAUUUUUCAGUACUCUAAACCGAAAAUGUCAUAUAUGCUAUGCAGCAUAUGCUACAUCUACAUCUGGAUGGUCAUAAAGAAUAACAACUGCUAUCUUUCAUAUUU